rnacentral:rRNA from 1 species
CAGCCGUAAACGAUGCGCGUUAGGUGUAUCGACGACCACGAGUCGUCGAGGUGCCGAAGGGAAACCGUGAAACGUGCCGCCUGGGAAGUACGGUCGCAAGGCUGAAACUUAAAGGAAUUGGCGGGGGGAGCACCACAACGGGUGGAGCCUGCGGUUUAAUUGGACUCAACGCCGGAAAUCUCACCGGAUAGGACAGACAUAUGAUAGUCGGGCUGAAGACUCUACUUGAUGAUCUGAGAGGAGGUGCAUGGCGUCAGUGACU